rnacentral:rRNA from 1 species
CCUGCAACUCCGUCGGGAAAUCCACUCGCCUAACGAGUGGGCGUCCGGCGGAAACUACAGGGCUUGGGACCGGAAGACUUGAGGGGUACGUCUGGGGUAGGAGUGAAAUCCUGUAAUCCUGGAGGGGCCGCCGAUGGCGAAAGCACCUCAAGACGACGGAUCCGACAGUGAGGGACGAAAGCUAGGGUCUCGAACCGGAUUAGAUACCCGGGUAGUCCUAGCCGUAAACGAUGUUCGCUAGAUGUGGCACAGGCUACGUGCCUGUGCUGUGUCGUAGGGAAGCCGAGAAGCGAACCGC